AUUUGCUUUGAUGACUGCAGAAAGAUUUUCUUUUACAACAUCUUCUGUCUGCUUUCAUUUCAUUCUAGAGGGAUCAAUUUGACUUUCAGACCAAUGGAACAAUAUAUACGUAAAAAUGGGAUUCAUUCUGAACAACUGUGUCACUGUUUGAUAAAUAUAACAUGAAAUAGUGAAUUCUUUUAAAAACAGCAAGUGUUUUUGUUGAGUUUGUUGUGUUCAAAGUCAGAGAGCCGUGUCUCUCUACAGUGAGAGGUUUUUGUACGACGACUUAUUUUGAGCUAAUAAUGUCGUAAAUAUGUUUUGUAAUUUUUCCAAAUUUAAAACCUGGUUGUUUUAUUUCCAGUGCAGUUUGAUAUCUUUCAGCUCAUAUGAGGACUCUUUCUGUGCUGAUAUGCAUGAGAGGUUUCUUAAAGGAAGUGAAACAAUGUGUGAGUGACUGGUGGAGCAGAAACCAGCUGUGUGGUCCCCGUCCUCUAAGCCGAUUGGUUCUUCUCCUAGGUGAUGCCCGUCCCACCCUGACGGUGCUGCCCCCCUCCAGCGAGGAGCUGCAGCAGGGGAAGGCCACGCUCAUGUGCCUGGCCAACAAGGGCUUCCCCUCAGACUGGAGUCUGGCCUGGAAGGUGGACGGCAGCAGCAGCAGCAGCAGCAGCAGCAGCAGCUGGGAGGAGAGCAGGAGCCCCGGGGUGCUGCAGAAGGACGGCCACUACAGCUGGAGCAGCACCCUGAGGCUCUCUGCAGACCAGUGGAGGAAGGUGGGCUCUGUGACCUGUGAGGCCACCCAGGGCUCCCAGACUCCGCUCUCAGAGACACUGAGGAGAGACCAGUGUUCCCAGUCCUGACCUGACUCACUGGGACUCUGCUACUGGUUUUCCUCUGCUCCUGCUCUCACUCUGCACUCUGGAACUGUCUCUCUCUUUUAUUUCACAUCUUUCAACAGCAAGAUUUACUAGCUUGUUGCACUGUUUCAAUAUUAUUUCAGUGUUUCCAGAUAAUAAAGACCUUUUCAUCCAA